rnacentral:rRNA from 1 species
CCCUUAGAUGUUCUGGGCUGCACGCGCGCUACACUGAAGCUAUCAACACGUUUUCCCUCCCUGAGAAGGGCGGGUAACCUUUUGAAUCAGCUUCGUGGUAGGGAUCGGGGCUUGCAAUUGUUCCCCGUGAACCAGGAAUUCCUAGUAGACGCGAGUCAUAAGCUCGCAUCGAUUAAGUCCCUGCCCUUUGUACACACCGCCCGUCGCUACUACCGAUUGAAUGGUCCGGUGAAAUCUUGGGAUUUUGUUUUGUUUGCAUUUAUUUGUAUCGAGACGAGAGAACUUGAGUAAACCUUACCAUUUAGAGGAAGGUGAAGUCGUAACA